rnacentral:rRNA from 1 species
GACGAACGCUGGCGGCGUGCUUAACACAUGCAAGUCGAACGGAAAGGCCCUGCUUUUGUGGGGUGCUCGAGUGGCGAACGGGUGAGUAACACGUGAGUAACCUGCCCUUGACUUUGGGAUAACUUCAGGAAACUGGGGCUAAUACCGGAUAGGAGCUCCUGCUGCAUGGUGGGGGUUGGAAAGUUUCGGCGGUUGGGGAUGGACUCGCGGCUUAUCAGCUUGUUGGUGGGGUAGUGGCUUACCAAGGCUUUGACGGGUAGCCGGCCUGAGAGGGUGACCGGCGACAUUGGGACUGAGAUACGGACCAGACGCGUACGGGAGGCAGCAGUGGGGAAUAUUGCAGAAUGGGCGGAAGUCAGAUGCAGCAACGCUGCGUGCGGGAUGACGGCCUUCGGGUUGUAAACAGAUGUCGACUGUGACGAAGCGUGAGUGACGGUAAUGGGUAAAGAAGCACCGGCUAACUACGUG